rnacentral:rRNA from 1 species
GAUGAACGCUGGCGGCGUGCCUAAUACAUGCAAGUCGAGCGAACAGACGAGGAGCUUGCUCCUCUGACGUUAGCGGCGGACGGGUGAGUAACACGUGGAUAACCUACCUAUAAGACUGGGAUAACUUCGGGAAACCGGAGCUAAUACCGGAUAACAUGUUGAACCGCAUGGUUCAACAGUGAAAGACGGUCUUGCUGUCACUUAUAGAUGGAUCCGCGCCGCAUUAGCUAGUUGGUAAGGUAACGGCUUACCAAGGCAACGAUGCGUAGCCGACCUGAGAGGGUGAUCGGCCACACUGGAACUGAGACACGGUCCAUACUCCUACGGGAGGCAGCAGUAGGGAAUCUUCCGCAAUGGGCGAAAUCCUGACGGAGCAACGCCGCGUGAGUGAAGAAGGUCUUCGGAUCGUAAAACUCUGUUAUUAGGGAAGAACAAAUGUGUAAGUAACUAUGCACGUCUUGACGGUACCUAAUCAGAAAGCCACGGCUAACUACGUG